rnacentral:rRNA from 1 species
CCUGAUGACCAUAGCGAGUCGGCCCCACCCCUUCCCAUCCCGAACAGGACCGUGAAACGACUCUACGCCGAUGAUAGUGCGGGUUCCCGUGUGAAAGUAGGUAAUCGUCAGGC